rnacentral:rRNA from 1 species
AACGAACGCUGGCGGCAUGCCUAACACAUGCAAGUCGAACGAGACCUUCGGGUCUAGUGGCGCACGGGUGCGUAACGCGUGGGAACCUGCCCUUAGGUUCGGAAUAACUCCCCGAAAGGGGUGCUAAUACCAGAUAAUGUCUUCGGACCAAAGAUUUAUCGCCUUUGGAUGGGCCCGCGUUGGAUUAGCUAGUUGGUAGGGUAAAAGCCUACCAAGGCGACGAUCCAUAGCUGGUCUGAGAGGAUGAUCAGCCACACUGGGACUGCGACACGGCCCAGACUCCUACGGGAGGCAGCAGUGGGGAAUAUUGGACAAUGGGCGAAAGCCUGAUCCAGCAAUGCCGCGUGAGUGAUGAAGGCCUUAGGGUUGUAAAGCUCUUUUACCCGGGAUGAUAAUGACAGUACCGGGAGAAUAAGCGCCGGCUAACUCCGUG